UACGAAGGGGGGCUAGCGUUGCUCGGAAUCACUGGGCGUAAAGCGCACGUAGGCGGCUUUUUAAGUCAGGGGUGAAAUCCUGGAGCUCAACUCCAGAACUGCCUUUGAUACUGAGAGGCUCGAGUCCGGGAGAGGUGAGUGGAACUGCGAGUGUAGAGGUGAAAUUCGUAGAUAUUCGCAAGAACACCAGUGGCGAAGGCGGCUCACUGGCCCGGUACUGACGCUGAGGUGCGAAAGCGUGGGGAGCAAACAGG
rnacentral:rRNA from 1 species